CUGCAGAAACAGAUAAACAACAGAACUCGUGGAAUUCUGUCAGAUCAAACCCUAAUUCUAGGUGUUGUUUGUAUAUUCGUCCUUUCUCUUGUUUAUUUGAUAAUUGAAAUUAAUACUUAAGAACCGUCAAUAGUUAGUGACAAGAAUACCCAAAAGAAUAUUUUUGCAAUUAUCCUUAUAUGCUCAAUACACAAGGUAAUGUUGCAAAUAAUUAAAAGCUCAUGUUACGAUCUGAUGAGUGCUUAUUUUAGGACACUAAGCUUGUCCUUGGGAAACCAUCAAUUUAUGUUGGCGAAGUGGUUUCCCCUCCAACACUGACCUAUAUCAAGAUCAACUCAACGAGAUCUACAAUAUUUAUUAUAGACAUAUGCAUCGACAACUGCCCUUUUAAAGUUUUUCUAAAUAGAAAGGAAGAGGGGGUUGGAAAUCUCAAAUGUGGUGAUGUUGGAGAGACCAAUAGAUUGGGAAGAUGUAGCAUAUGAGCAUGGAGUAAACGAAGUGGCUAUGAAAUAAAUUCCAUGCUCAUUAAUGUUACCUUCGUCUCUAAUCUGAAUGUUCGGAGAUUCUCCUGGAUUGGUCUCGCCUAUGUCCUCUUCUGUAGUUGGAUGAAUCUCAUCUUCAAAGGGAGUCAACAACUCACCAUUUGAAAUUGAGCCAAAGUCAGAAUCCAUUAAGGCCUCUUCCUUGUCC
rnacentral:lncRNA from 1 species